CGUAGGGUGCGAGCGUUAAUCGGAAUUACUGGGCGUAAAGCGUGCGCAGGCGGUUUUGUAAGACAGGCGUGAAAUCCCCGGGCUCAACCUGGGAACUGCGCUUGUGACUGCAAGGCUAGGAGUACGGCAGAGGGGGUGGAAUUCCACGUGUAGCAGUGAAAUGCGUAGAGAUGUGGAGGAACACCAAUGGCGAAGGCAGCCCCCUGGGUCGAUACUGACGCUCAUGCACGAAAGCGUGGGUAGCAAACAGGAUUAGAUACCCCUGGUAGUCCACGCCCUAAACGAUGUCAACUAGGUGUUGGGUGGGUAAAACCAUUUAGUACCGGAGCUAACGCGUGAAGUUGACCGCCUGGGGAGUACGGCCGCAAGGUU
rnacentral:rRNA from 1 species